AACCAUAGAAACCUGCGGAGUACCUGCGGAGGGAUCAUUACAGAGUUGCAAAACUCCCUAAACCAUUGUGAACGUUACCUAAACCGCUGCUUCGGCGGGCGGCCCGGGUCCUUCCCGGCGCCCAUCGGCCCUCGCGGGCGCCCGCCGGAGGUAAACCAAACUAUUGCAUUGUAUGGCCUCUCUGAGUCUUCUGUACUGAAUAAGUCAAAACUUUCAACAACGGAUCUCAGAUCGGAAGAG
rnacentral:misc_RNA from 1 species